rnacentral:tRNA from 1 species
GGGGUUGUGGCUCAAUGGUAGAGCACUCGUCUAGCACGUGAGAGGCCCUGGGUUUGAUCCUCAGCACCACA